AUAAGCAAAAGAAGGGCAGACGGUGGAUGCCUUGGCUCUAAGAGGCGAUGAAGGACGUGAUAAGCUGCGAAAAGCUGUGGGGAUCGGCAAAUACGAAAUGAUCCACAGAUAUCCGAAUGGGGCAACCCGGCAUGCGACAGCAUGUCACCUGUGAGAUAUUACAGGAGCGAACGUGGGGAACUGAAACAUCUCAUUACCCAUAGGAGAAGAAAACAAAAGUGAUUCCCUCAG
rnacentral:rRNA from 1 species